ensembl:lncRNA
UUAAACCUCAUAAUGUGAGCCUGUGAUCCCCAGCUUUUCUUCUUUAUGAGAGUGUUAACCUUCUUCUUCCUUUUUUUUUUUUCUAUUGAAAUCUGUGGGAGAGUAAGUGCAGGAUCUGGUCCCUAAAGCUGCUCCAUCACGUUGCCAAGUAACCAGAGGAGUAAUAUAGUUUGUUUUCCAUGGAGGGCAGGAAGAAUCAAAGUGCUUGUGUGAAGGAUCACAGAGCCUAAGGAAAUGUGUGAUCAGUGAGGAGACUGAAACCAGCAUGAUCCUGCCACUUAGAGACAUUCUGUACCCUAAGUGUGUCUCAUGCCUUCUUAUUUCUGCCCUCUCCAUGGACGACCUAGAAGAACAGUAGCUCACUACAGUUCUCAUGUGAUAACUGAAUGUGAACUAAUAGCGAGCUGACAAUACACUUUCAUGCUUUAUGAAAAGGAGUAUAUGAGGGAGCUGACAAGAGUAAGGAGACCUGGAAAUGUUCCCUGGUCACUUCAGCCUUGUCACUGUCACUUCUUCAGACAGCAAGCAUCUGUGGGGAAGAGCGAGCUGGAGGAACCUGCUCUAGGGAAUCUGCACCAUGUCUGCAUACAGGCUGGGCAAGACUUGCAAGACACAAGUAGACCAUUUGUCUUUGGUCCCAAAAGAUCGUGAAUGCCUGAAAUGGUGCUGCAGACACUAAGAAUGCAAGAAGGAACUUUCAAAUCAAGAAUUUCAGGAGGAAAGAUAAAAGGUUUUGGACUUUUCAUUGAAGCUGCUGCAGCGCGUCAAGCAUGUGGAACAUUUUAACAAGGAGUUUUUAAUGAAUCCCUGGGAAGAAAGUGCCCUCGAAAACAAUACUUCAGUACGUAAGCACUUAUAUACUCUGCAACAAUAAAAACACAACACAUGGAAAAGAUUUUCCUGCCUCUCUGUGUUUUAAACAAACUUUAGCCACAAUCAAGGUCAUAGCCAUUCACUGAGAGGUACUUUUGAUUAAAGGUUUUUUUCUCCAAGGUUGCAAGUAAAUUAUUUCAGCCCGUUUGAUGAUUUGCUAGAAAGGUGUGUUAAAUUGCUGGUAAUUUGAAUUGUGUAUUCAAUUGUGUCUACACAUUCCUUGCAUGUUUCCAUAAAUGCUGGCAUCACUUCUGUAUUACUCUUGGCUUCUUGCACUUGUGUCAGAAGGAAAUGAGUGAUUUUAACACAGCCAUGAAGUUCAAUACAAAGUGGAGAGGGGCUGAAUUUCCCUCAGGUCUUAAUCCCAGUGAAGGUUCAGGGCACUGAGCAGUUAUAAUCAGUCACUUGUCUUUCUGAAUUACUCUAUCCAAAGACACAGGCAGCUCUAUAAUGUCUUCUUAUUUUUCUGUACCAUCAAAUGAAUUUGACAUGAGAAGAAAAGAAAAUGGACAACAAGGAAAAUCAGGACACAGGAUUAAGACAGAGAGUUUUGACGUGUUGACCUUAGUGCUGAUUUUAUGCAGUCAAAUGUUUGAUGUUUAUAGUUUUUUGACCGUCUCUGCAACCUUUGCUGGAGCACUGUAAGAAUUAGAUGACUUGAUGUUUCUGAAGCUGUUUUCUUCUGAGGAAAAAAAGGAAACCAACUGAAAAA